rnacentral:rRNA from 1 species
AUGAACGCUGGCGGCGUGCCUAAUACAUGCAAGUCGAGCGAACAGACGAGGAGCUUGCUCCUUUGACGUUAGCGGCGGACGGGUGAGUAACACGUGGAUAACCUACCUAUAAGACUGGGAUAACUUCGGGAAACCGGAGCUAAUACCGGAUAACAUGUUGAACCGCAUGGUUCAACAGUGAAAGACGGUCUUGCUGUCACUUAUAGAUGGAUCCGCGCCGCAUUAGCUAGUUGGUAAGGUAACGGCUUACCAAGGCAACGAUGCGUAGCCGACCUGAGAGGGUGAUCGGCCACACAGGAACUGAGACACGGUCCAGACUCCUACGGGAGGCAGCAGUAGAGAAUCUUCCGCAAUGGGCGAAAGCCUGACGGAGCAACGCCGCGUGAGUGAAGAAGGUCUUCGGAUCGUAAAACUCUGUUAUUAGGGAAGAACAAAUGUGUAAGUAACUAUGCACGUCUUGACGGUACCUAAUCAGAAAGCCACGGCUAACUACGUG